UCCCGCUCCCGGUGCCGGCCCCGCGCCCGCCGCCACUUUCGGUUUCUCCCGCUCCGCCCCGGUGCGUGGCGGGGAGGCCCGGAGCCAGGGCCCGCCCGCGGCUGAAGCUGCGGCCGCCAUCUUGGAAGCGGGCACCGGGUGCCUUUGGCUCACGCUGUUCCGCCAUCUUGGGUGAGGGCGAUGCGCCUGGGGGAGGCCAUUUUGGAGAGGGGCGCGGCCCGGCCCGGUGACGCCCGCCCGGCCGGGUGGCGGCCAUGUUGGGUGCGGGCAGGCUGCGAGGGGGACCCCGCGGCCGCCAUUUUGAGAGGGGCGCGGGGGGGGGGGGGGGGGGGGGGGGCCCCCGGGGCGGCCCUUUGGGGGGGGGGGGGGGGGGGGGGGGGGGCGUCUGCAGCGCCUCCGUGCUGCCAAGAAACAGAGCCCAAAGUGGCCUGAAACCCCAAAAACACAGUCACAAAACCCCAGAGUCACAGAAUCCCAAAAUCAUGGAACCCCAGAGUCACAAAAUCAUGGAAUCCCACAGUCACAGAGUCACAAAAUCGCAGAAUCCCGAAUCCCAAAAUUCCAGAACCCCAAAAUUCCAGAACCUCAGAGCCACCCAGGUUGGAGGAGACCCCAAAAUCCCCCAGUCCAGCCUCUGACCCGACCCUACCCAGCCCUGCACUGCCCCACAUCACCGAGCUCUGCAUCUAAAUGUCUCCUAAAUACCUCACCCGCCUCCCCGGGCAGCCCGUCCCAGUGCCCCACAACCCUUCCAGUAAUGAAUUUCUUCCCAAUAUCCAACCCAAACCUCCCCUGGUGCAAUUUCAGCCCAUUCCGUGAGAAAUGAAGUUGUGUUUUUGUAGUAGAGAACCAAAUUUCUGCAUUCCGGGGUGGUUGUGUAGUCAUAACGAGGAGAAACGCUACGUGAGCGCACGGGACCGCGCGGAGCUGCGGGUGGCACGGGCAGAGCUGGAGGUGCUGGGACCCCUGCCCAGCCCCGAGGGUGAGUGUGGCUGGUGGCAGGGGGGGCGCGGGCAGGGCUGUGCCAGGCUCCUGUCCCUGCUGUCCCCCCCCCAGGCACACGGAGCCCCGGUGACAGCCCCGAGGUGGCACAGAGGCGCAGGGACGCUUUGGGUAACGUGGAGAUGUGGGGACGUGGGGACAGACCCCAUGGGGUCGGGGCAGGGCUGUGCCCCCCGUGUGCCCCCCGUGCGCCCCCCGGCCC
rnacentral:lncRNA from 1 species